GAUGAAGAACGUAGCGAAAUGCGAUAAUUAAUGUGAAUUGCAGAAUUCCGUGAAUCAUCGAGUCUUUGAACGCACAUUGCGCCUCAUGGCAUUCCGUGAGGCAUGCCCAUCUCAGCGUUAGAAAAUAUUCUCAAAUUUUAGUUUUGUGCUAAAAUUUGGGUCAUGUCAAGGAAGCUAUUACUAUUAUUGUGAUCGCUCUUUGGAAAUUGAUAGGUCUUUGAGUUGCUACUCAUAGAACGUGAUGAAUCUUUCUUCGUUCUAUUGUAAUUCACUCUGGUAGUCCUAAAACUUGUAUGCCUGUGGCAUAUCUUGUAAUUUGACCUGAGAUUGGGUAGGGAUACCCGCUGAACUUAAGCAUAUCAAUAAGCGGAGGA
rnacentral:misc_RNA from 1 species